ACACUAUAUAGCUCAGUUGUUAGAGCAUCACCCUGGAAUGAGUAGAAGGUACUCAGUUCAAACCUAGGUAUGGGCA